GCCUCUGUGGUCCAGUGGAAGAGCGUUGGACUCCCGAUCCGGAGGCCCCGGGUUCGAAUCCCGGGUGGGGGCA